CCUACGGUAGGCUGCAGUGAGGAAUAUUGGUCAAUGGGCGCGAGCCUGAACCAGCCAAGUAGCGUGAAGGAUGACUGCCCUACGGGUUGUAAACUUCUUUUAUAAAGGAAUACAGUGAGGCUCGUGUGCCUAUUUGUAUUGACUUUAUCAAUACGGAUCGGCUCACUCCGUUCCAGCAGCCGCGGUAAUAUGGAGGAUCCGAGCGUUAUCCGGAUUUAUUGGGUUUAACGGGAGCGUAGAUGGGUUGUUAAGUCAGUUGUGAAAGUUCGCGGCUCAACCGUAAAAUGGCAAUUGAUACUGGCAGACUUGAGUUCAGUUGAGGUAGGCGGAAUUCGUGGUGUAGCGGUGAAAUGCUUAGAUAUCACGAAGAACUCCGAUGGCGAAGGCAGCUUACUAGACUGCCACUGACAUUGAUGCUCGAAAGUGUGGGUAUCAAACAGGAUUAGAUACCCGUGUAGUC
rnacentral:rRNA from 1 species